ensembl:lncRNA
ACACACACACACACACACACACACACACACACACACACACACACACACACACACAUAUACUAUAGCAUCUUGCUUACAUUUCUUACAUUUUAGGCAUCCAGCUGAGGUCUUGUAUGGAUCAUGUUACACAGAUGGGCUCAGGGGUAUAUGUACAGUCAUUUUUAGAGUGGUGGCAAAGUAGUUGAACAGGAGAAGAGGAUGUGGUUACUUGUGGAGGGAGAACAGUGAGGGUGGUGGGUUGGGCACCUGCAGUGAAGCUGAUUGGUUGCUCUGGCUCAUCACAUCUUGACUAAAAGAAAGAGAUUUAGAAAUUAGUUCGACAUUGCCAUAGUUCAACAGCUCAAAAGCCGUCAUUAACAUACUCCCAGAGACAGCAAUAUAUUCAGUAUUCACUGAAUGAAAUAGCCUACCCAUCCCCAUUUACAAAUAUAUUCAUCAAUGAAAUAAAUUAUACUAUAGCACAUUCAAUUACAUUAUUAUUGUAAAGUAUAGAUUACUCCUGUAUUUACCUUGUACAGUAACAUAACCAUUGAAUGAAAUAGUGUACCCAUCCACAUUUGCAAUUUAAUUGAUCAAUUCUAAAAUAAUACUAGCACACAGAGUUACAUUGUUGUAGAAUAGGCUACUACGGUAUCCACACUAUAUUUGGAUGCCGUUGUGAUAUUGUCAGGCAUGAGUUUAGAUCUUCAAUCGAAGUUGCAUGUUGUACCUCGUUUUCCUUCAGUGAAAAAUAGUUAUUUAAUUUACAAUUGAAUGAAUCCAUUAAAUAAAUAAUACUAGGACAUCAAAUUCCGUUAUUGUACACUAGUCUACUCCACUAUUGACACAGUAAAUAAUAUCGCCUAUGUGCUUCGACAAUACGUUUUCAACAAAAAAUUAUAUAAAAAAACACACAUUUGCCUUAACACAGUAGACCUAAAUAUUUCCAAUUGGAUCAAGUACAUCUUGGUAAUUAUUUCAUCGUCUCUAAUGAAACUAUCUGGGACAGACCCUCGAAAAUCGCUUCUGACAGUGGUAAAAAAUCAAAUCAAAUUGAAUGUCUGUGUCGCCGCCGAGCUCUCAAAUACCGUGCCAGUCUCUCACUCCAUGAACGGUCACUGCAAUCUGGAUUCCUUGGGACGUCCUUAACCAAUUUACAUUUGUACUUGAUAGAGGUAUGGGCAUACCCAAAUAGCACGGACCCUCUGGGAAAGUCUUUGGACUGCUCUAAUUGACUGAAGGGACAUCCCAAGGAUCCCGAAUAGCACCUAUAAACUCCUCUGAAAGCCAUGGACACAACUCUUAUUGGUUGUCUGUUGUGGAACUGGUAACAACACAGUCUGUGAUUGGCUAAUAACAUUUAGAUCUGUAUACAGCGAGAUAUGAUAGCAUACCAUACCAUUGAGGGAAAGUCAGGUUUUCUAUAGAUUGGGCAUAAUCUUUUCCAGGCCAUUAACGUUUUGACGCACCCAUCCCGUUAGCGGGAUCAUUUUCGUCAACAUCCGCUGAAUUGCAGAGCGCCAAAUUCAGAUUCAAUUACUAAAGAUAUUUCAUUUUCAUUAAAUCACAAGUGCAAUAUAGCAAAACACAGCGUAGUUUGUUGUUAUCUACCUGGCGUGUCAGAUUUCAAAAAAGCUUUACAGCGAAAGCAAACCAAGCGUUUAUGUGAGGACAUCUCUCUUAGCAGACAAAACAUUAGAAACAGCUAGCAGCAAAGUAGAUUGGUCACGAAAGUCAGAAAAGCAAUAAAAUGAAUCGCUUACCUUUGAUCUUUGGAUGUUUGCACUCACGAGUCUCCCAGUUACACAAUAAAUGUUCCUUUUGUUCGAUAAAGAUCAUUUUUAUUUCCAAAAACCUCCAUUUGGUUAGCGUGUUUUGUUUAGUAAUCCACAGGCUUGUGCAGGUCAUGCAGGUGAAAAUUCCAAAUAGUAUCCGUAAAGUUCAUAGAAACAUGUCAAACCUUUUUUAUAAUAAAUCCUCAGGUUGUUUUUACAACAAAUAAUAAAUAAUAUUUCAACCAGGAGAGAGAGAGAAAAUGCCAUCCACUGACGCAAUAUGAUCAUUCACGCUCAUUUUUCAGAAUAAAAAGCUGAAACUAUGUCUAAAGACUGUUCACACCAUGUGGAAGCCAUAGGGAAAUGAAUAUGGUUGAUAUCCCUUUAAUUGGAGGGAAGGCAUGUAAUGGAACAGGGAGGUUUCAAAAUAAGAGGCACUUUCUGGUUGGAUUUUCCUCAGGUUUUUGCCUGCAAUAUCAGUUAUGUUAUACUCGCAGACAAUAUCUUGACAGUUUUGGAAACUUUAGAGUGUUUUCUAUCCUAAUUUGACAAUUAUAUGCAUAUUCUAGCUUCUGGGCUUGAGAAAUAGGUAGUUUCAUUUGGGUAUGUUUUUCAUCCAAACAUCAAAAUACUGCCCCCUACACUCAACAGGUGUGAUAACAGGAAAUACACAAGCCGUAGGCUACAGUAUAGUUCAAGAUGGCUGUAUCGGAAUGUCUGCUUGCACAGGAACAAUUGUACAUUUCUAACAUUUAUGGUUGAGAUUUAAUUAAUAUAAAUACAAACUAUGCACAUUAUGACUCAUUAACACAUGAUGUAGGUGUCAUGCAGAUGUUAGUAAGGCGUUGGUAUCAUGUCAUGUAAAGUCAGACACGUAAUGCAGGAGUCACGCAGACAUUAAUGAGGCAUUGGUGUCAUGUCAGGUGGUACGGUUACCUAAGCUUAAAUAUGUCCCUUAUCACCCCCCAUGUGUGUGUCUUAGUGUACCAAACGCUGCCGGUGGCCAGUGACAGACGUCUCCGUCACACCCGCGAUCAUGCAGUCACCACUUCAGCCUCAAACUUAACUGUCAAACCAACGUGUUUUCAUCCCUCGUUAUCUAAACCUGACGACUGGACAUUGCUCCUUCAGCUUCAUACAUCCGAAGCGGAAUCUGCCUGUGGCCAUGACCCCAUUUGGAUGUGGGGAUAGUAGAGGGAAACGAUGCCUUACUCCAAGAACUCCAGGAGCUCUUGGACAUAUCCGAUGUCCACGAUGAGACAUCACCACCACUGCUCAACGGCCUCAUAAGACUGGGAUACAAGACAGCAACUGUCCACAAAAAGGUGGAAGGAGGCAAGACCAUAUCGCAUUGAUAACUGGCUGGCAGAAGAGGAUCAUCACCCAGAUGUCAACAGUGCAGUACCAACCCAGCUGUAAUGCGCUGAAGAAAUUGCCUUCUGUGUCCCUUCUUCUGUGAGAAGCACAGCCGCGAGCUGCCCAGUGACACGAGCCUACCAGACAAGCUAAAAUACUUCAAUGCUCGCUUCGAGGCAAGCAACACUGAAGCAUGCAUGAGAGCAUCAGCUGUUCCGGAUGACUGUGUGAUCAUGCUCUCCGUAGCCGAUGUGAGUAAGACCUUUAAACAGGUCAACAUUCACAAGGCUGCAGGGCUAGACGGAUUACCAGGACGUGUACUCUGUGCAUGCGCUGACCAACUCGCAAGAGUCGUCACUGACAUUUUCAACCUGUCCACGACUGAGUCUGUAAUACCGACAUGUUUCAAGCAGACCACCAUAGUCCCUGUGCCCAAGAACACCAAGGUAACCUGCCUAAAUGACUACCGACCAGUAGCACUCACAUCUGUAGCCAUGAAAUUCUUUGAAGGGCUGGUCAUGGCUCACAUCAACACCAUUAUCCCAGAAACCUUAGACCCACUCCAAUUUGCAUACUGCCCCAACAGAUCCACAGAUGAUGCAAUCUCUAUUGCACUCCACACUGCCCUUUCACAAAUAGACAAAAGGAACACCUAUGUGAGAAUGCUAUUCAUUGACUACAGCUCAGCAUUCAACACCAUAGUGCCCUCAAAGCUCAUCACUAAGCUAAGGACCCUGGGACUAAACACCUCCCUCUGCAACUGGAUCCUGAACUUCCUGACGGGACGCCCCCAGGUGGUAAGGAGCUAAUGGUGGGAGGCUUCGGCAUCUCAGACCCCGUAACGGGAGGAGUAGAGACCAGAGAAGGCUCGGCCUCUGACUCCGCCUUGCUGCUAAAUGGGGAGAACCAGUUGAAAGUUUCUGUUGGCUGAAUGAGCGACACCGGUUGAGCAUUCCUACAGUAUUUCCUUCCAGAAGCCAUGAGAAAGUUGUCCGGCUGUGGGGAUCGUGCAAAGGGAUUUAUACUACUAUCUGUACUUACUGGUGGCACGGAUGCUGUUUCAUCCUUUCCUACACUGAAAUUACCCUUGCCUAAUAAUUGCGUCUGAAGCUGGGCUUGCAGCACAUAAGGCGAUCGUACAGGCGGUCAUUCUCCUGUAUAUUAUGAGUACAGCG